AGUACUAGCGACCAAGCCUCCGACGACUUCAGAGAGCGCUACCUCAACAGUAUUGGUGACCAAGCUUGCAACCGCAACGGAGAGAGUCACUUUGGCAGUAUCCUCGACCGAGCAGCCCACCACAACGGAGAGAGUUACUUCAAAAGCUUCAUCGUCGUUUACCGAGCUGCCAAC